AUAUGAAAAAAGGCCAAAACAAGCUAACCUGCAAUUCAAACGCAGAGUGGGAAGGAGAAAUAAUCUGCCAAGAAUUUUUCUGCGAUCAUAUGCCUGUGUUGCAGCAAGGAAGAGUUGAAGGAAAUAGCAACAAGGUACUAUUUUCGUGUUUUUAUGGCUACCGACUGAAGAAUGCGGGUAGCGCAUAUUGCGGAGAAAACAACACCUGGAUAUAUCUCAAUAAACAACCCCCAGCAUGUCAAGUUAUGAAAUGCCAAGAACUCGAAUUAGAAAACGGAAAUGUACCAAAGCACAACUUGACAGUAAACAGUACAAUCAAAUUUGUAUGUAAGAAGGGCUACGAGAGGAAGGGCAUCAAUUCACG